rnacentral:rRNA from 1 species
UUGGAGGGCAAGUCUGGUGCCAGCAGCCGCGGUAAUUCCAGCUCCAAUAGCGUAUAUUAAAGUUGUUGCAGUUAAAAAGCUCGUAGUUGAACCUUGGGCCUGGCUGGCCGGUCCGCCUCACCGCGUGUACUGGUCCGGCCGGGCCUUUCCUUCUGGGGAACCUCAUGCCCUUCACUGGGCGUGUUGGGGAACCAGGACUUUUACUUUGAAAAAAUUAGAGUGUUCAAAGCAGGCCUUUGCUCGAAUACAUUAGCAUGGAAUAAUAGAAUAGGACGUGUGGUUCUAUUUUGUUGGUUUCUAGGACCGCCGUAAUGAUUAAUAGGGAUAGUCGGGGGCAUCAGUAUUCAAUCGUCAGAGGUGAAAUUCUUGGAUUGAUUGAAGACUAACUACUGCGAAAGCAUUUGCCAAGGAUGUUUUCAUUAAUCAGUGAACGAAAGUUAGGGGAUCGAAGACGAUCAGAUACCGUCGUAGUCUUAACCAUAAACUAUGCCGACUAGGGAUCGGACGGUGUUAGUAUUUCGACCCGUUCGGCGCCUUACGGGAAAC